rnacentral:rRNA from 1 species
AUUGAACGCUGGCGGCAUGCCUAACACAUGCAAGUCGAGCGAGUGGCGGACGGGUGAGUAAUGUCUGGGAAACUGCCUGAUGGAGGGGGAUAACUACUGGAAACGGUGGCUAAUACCGCAUACCAUCGGAUGUGCCCAGAUGGGAUUAGCUAGUAGGUGGGGUAAAGGCUCACCUAGGCGACGAUCCAUAGCUGGUCUGAGAGGAUGAACGGCCACACUGGAACUGAGACACGGUCCAGACUCCUACGGGAGGCAGCAGUGGGGAAUAUUGCACAAUGGGCGCAAGCCUGAUGCAGCCAUGCCGCGUGUAUGAAGAAGGCCUUCGUGUUGUAAAGUACUGUCAGUGGGGAGGCGUUACCCGCACAAGAAGCACCGGCUAACUCCGUGCCAGCAGCCGCGGUAAUUC